GGGUCAGUAGGUUGGUCGUGCCACCGGUACGUACUGGUCUCACUGAUUCCUCCUUCCUGAAGAACCGUAAUGCCAUUAAUUUGGUGUUGCGGGGAAACAGGACUGUUACUUUGAAAAGAUUAGAGUGUUUGAAGCAAGCUAACGCUUGAAUACAUUAGCAUGGAAUAAUGAAAUAGGACGAUCGAUCCUAUUUUGUUGGUUUCUAGGAUUGACGUA
rnacentral:rRNA from 1 species